CGGGUGAGUAACACGUGGAUAACCUACCUAUAAGACUGGGAUAACUUCGGGAAACCGGAGCUAAUACCGGAUAAUAUAUUGAACCGCAUGGUUCAAUAGUGAAAGACGGUUUUGCUGUCACUUAUAGAUGGAUCCGCGCCGCAUUAGCUAGUUGGUAGGGUAACGGCUUACCAAGGCGACGAUGCGUAGCCGAUCUGAGAGGGUGAUCGGCCACACUGGAACUGAGACACGGUCCAG
rnacentral:rRNA from 1 species